UCCAGACUCCUACGGGAGGCAGCAGUGGGGAAUAUUGCACAAUGGGGGAAACCCUGAUGCAGCGACGCCGCGUGAGUGAAGAAGUAUUUCGGUAUGUAAAGCUCUAUCAGCAGGGAAGAAAAUGACGGUACCUGACUAAGAAGCCCCGGCUAACUACGUGCCAGCAGCCGCGGUAAUACGUAGGGGGCAAGCGUUAUCCGGAUUUACUGGGUGUAAAGGGAGCGUAGGUGGCAUGGUAAGCCAGAAGUGAAAACCCGGGGCUCAACCCCGCGGAUUGCUUUUGGAACUAUCAGGCUGGAGUGCUGGAGGGGUAAGCGGAAUUCCUAGUGUAGCGGUGAAAUGCGUAGAUAUUAGGAGGAACACCGGUGGCGAAGGCGGCUUACUGGACAGAAACUGACACUGAGGCUCGAAAGCGUGGGGAGCAAACAGGAUUAGAUACCCCUGUAA
rnacentral:rRNA from 1 species